AAAUUGAAGAGUUUGAUCAUGGCUCAGAUUGAACGCUGGCGGCAGGCCUAACACAUGCAAGUCGAGCGGAAACGACACUAACAAUCCUUCGGGURCGUUAAUGGGCGUCGAGCGGCGGACGGGUGAGUAAUGCCUAGGAAAUUGCCUUGAUGUGGGGGAUAACCAUUGGAAACGAUGGCUAAUACCGCAUGAUGCCUACGGGCCAAAGAGGGGGACCUUCGGGCCUCUCGCGUCAAGAUAUGCCUAGGUGGGAUUAGCUAGUUGGUGAGGUAAUGGCUCACCAAGGCGACGAUCCCUAGCUGGUCUGAGAGGAUGAUCAGCCACACUGGAACUGAGACACGGUCCAGACUCCUACGGGAGGCAGCAGUGGGGAAUAUUGCACAAUGGGCGAAA
rnacentral:rRNA from 1 species